AAGGCCACAUCUCAGUCCAAAGGUUCCAUCUUGCCCGUGAUCGGUGGAGCUCCAGAGAGCCAUAAACGCCACAGCAAGGUUGUGUGCACUGCAAAUCCGUAAUACUCACAUGGAAGAGCAAUCCCAUGAACAAGGCUCGAUAGAGACAUCACCUUCUUCUUCUUCAGUAGACCAUAAAACUUGGAUAGAGACCCAGGAUUUUCUGAAGAAAAAGUUGAUUGCAGAAGAUGAUUUCACAUGGAGAUUAGCUGUUACAGGAAGGUCAAUGGAGAAAGAGGAGGAGGUGUUGAAGUAUGUGGGUGGAGUUGAUAUAAGCUAUUCAAAGGAAGACCCAUCAAUGGCAUGUGGGAUUCUUGUAGUUUUGGACCUCCAAACUCUCCAAGUUGUCUAUGAAGACUUCUCUAUUGUCACCCUCCAUGUCCCUUAUCUUCCUGGCUUCCUUGCUUUCAGAGAGGCCCCAGUGCUUCUUGAGCUUUUGGAGAAAAUGAAAACCAAUGCUAAUCCUUUAUAUCCUCAGCUGCUAAUGGUAGAUGGAAAUGGAACACUUCAUCCUCGAGGUUUUGGCUUGGCUUGUCACCUUGGCAUUCUGGCAAAUCUACCUACUGUUGGGAUUGGAAAAAAUCUUCACCAUGUGGAUGGCCUAACACUAUCUGGUGUGAUGCAACUUCUUAAAGCCAAGGAAGACUACGCUCAAGAUUUUGUUACUUUGAAAGGAUGCUCUGGGCGUAUAUGGGGAGUGGCAGUGAGAUCUACUGGUGGCUCAUUGAAGCCUAUAUUUAUCUCAGUUGGUCACCGUAUAGCACUUGAUACUGCCAUCAGGAUUGUAAAAAUGACUUGCAAAUUUCGUGUCCCGGAGCCUAUUCGGCAGGCAUUCUAGGGAGGGCCUGCUGUGUUAUCUGUCUGUUUGCUACAAUCUUUUGUUGGCCAUUUAGCGAUGUUGGCAUUUUCCGUGGUAAGGGGAGAUUAUCUUAAAGCUCCAAUUUUUCCUUCUGAUAUGGAGGCAGGCUGACAUAAGAUCCAGAGACUAUGUUCGGAAGCAUCAAAUGAGAAUGUCCAAAUGAUUCAAUUUCAAGAAUCUGGGCCUGCAGUAUUUUUGCCACACCAAUAUAUAGAGUGUUAGAAUGCGCAUCAGGUCCCAUUUUAAUGCUUCUCCUCGGCCCCCAAAAACUCAAGGCCGGCCCUGAUUACACCACCAGGCUUUUCAAGAGACCCGGGUCUGCCAUCCACUCUCGAAGAAAAUGUUCAGAUCACGAUCCUUAACUUCAGUCUCCAGCUGAUGGCUCUUUAUUCUUACUAACAAAGGUUUGGGACUUAAAGCCACUCUCCAGUUGAAUAUCUAUCUGAUGGGCUACCGUGGUACACCGUACAUGCAUAGGAAGUGUUUCCACGAGCAUCCAAAUUCCACAUGAAUCCAAAUGGAGGGUGACAUUAUGGAGGUCCAUGUGAAAUCCUCGUCAACAAAUUAUCUAAACUCGAUUUGAUUGGUGUUAGCAGUUUACCAGAUGGUGUAAUUUGUUUCUUUCGUUUGGGGUUUUAUGAAUUAUUCACCAAUGAGACGAGGCUAGUUUCAUCAAUUUAUAGGUAGAUUUUUUACUUGCGCCUUUUUUUUAUUCUUGUUUGUUGGCUUCAGUGAUUACGCCACAAUUUUUUUGUAUAUAUAUGAAAUAGAAACUUCAUCAGGUAAACUGUUCUAAAACCUAAUGAGAAAUGUGAGCUUGUCAGCAA